UACGUAGGGUGCGAGCGUUAAUCGGAAUUACUGGGCGUAAAGCGUGCGCAGGCGGUGAUGUAAGACAGUUGUGAAAUCCCCGGGCUCAACCUGGGAACUGCAUCUGUGACUGCAUCGCUGGAGUGCGGCAGAGGGGGAUGGAAUUCCGCGUGUAGUAGUGAAAUGCGUAGAUAUGCGGAGGAACACCGAUGGCGAAGGCAAUCCCCUGGGCCUGCACUGACGCUCAUGCACGAAAGCGUGGGGAGCAAACAGG
rnacentral:rRNA from 1 species